UUUGCGUCGAAGGUAUACCGGUAAGGAGUGCUGGAGCGAAUAGAAGUGAGCAUGCAGGCAUGAGUAGCGAUAAUUAAUGUGAGAAUCAUUAACGCCGUAAACCCAAGGUUUCCUACGCGAUGCUCGUCAUCGUAGGGUUAGUCGGGUCCUAAGUCGAGUCCGAAAGGGGUAGACGAUGGCAAAUUGGUUAAUAUUCCAAUACCAACAUUAGUGUGCGAUGGAAGGACGCUUAGGGCUAAGGGGGCUAGCGGAUGGAAGUGCUAGUCUAAGGUUGUAGGAGGUUAUACAGGCAAAUCCGUAUAACAAUACUCCGAGAACUGAAAGGCUUUUUGAAGUCUUCGGAUGGAUAGAAGAACCCCUGAUGCCGUCGAGCCAAGAAAAGUUUCUAAGUUUAGCUAAUGUUGCCCGUACCGUAAACCGACACAGGUGGGUGGGAUGAGUAUUCUAAGGCGCGUGGAAGAACUCUCUUUAAGGAACUCUGCAAAAUAGCACCGUAUCUUCGGUAUAAGGUGUGGUUAGCUUCGUACUAGGAUUUACUCCGAAAGCGAAGAAACUUACAACAAAGAGUCCCUCCCGACUGUUUACCAAAAACACAGCACUCUGCUAACUCGUAAGAGGAUGUAUAGGGUGUGACGCCUGCCCGGUGCUCGAAGGUUAAUUGAUGGGGUUAGCAUUAGCGAAGCUCUUGAUCGAAGCCCGAGUAAACGGCGGCCGUAACUAUAACGGUCCUAAGGUAGCGAAAUUCCUUGUCGGUUAAAUACCGACCUGCAUGAAUGGCGUAACGAGAUGGGAGCUGUCUCAAAGAGGGAUCCAGUGAAAUUGUAGUGGAGGUGAAAAUUCCUCCUACCCGCGGCAAGACGGAAAGACCCCGUGGACCUUUACUACAGCUUGACACUGCUACUUGGAUAAGAAUGUGCAGGAUAGGUGGGAGGCUUUGAGUAUAUGACGCCAGUUGUAUAUGAGCCAUUGUUGAGAUACCACUCUUUCUUAUUUGGGUAGCUAACCAGCUUGAGUUAUCCUCAAGUGGGACAAUGUCUGGUGGGUAGUUUGACUGGGGCGGUCGCCUCCCAAAUAAUAACGGAGGCUUACAAAGGUUGGCUCAGAACGGUUGGAAAUCGUUCGUAGAGUAUAAAGGUAUAAGCCAGCUUAACUGCAAGACAUACAAGUCAAGCAGAGACGAAAGUCGGUCUUAGUGAUCCGGUGGUUCUGUGUGGAAGGGCCAUCGCUCAAAGGAUAAAAGGUACCCCGGGGAUAACAGGCUGAUCUCCCCCAAGAGCUCACAUCGACGGGGAGGUUUGGCACCUCGAUGUCGGCUCAUCGCAUCCUGGGGCUGGAGCAGGUCCCAAGGGUAUGGCUGUUCGCCAUUUAAAGCGGUACGCGAGCUGGGUUCAGAACGUCGUGAGACAGUUCGGUCCCUAUCUGCCGUGGGCGUAAGAAGAUUGAAGAGAUUUGACCCUAGUACGAGAGGACCGGGUUGAACAAACCACUGGUGUAGCUGUUGUUCUGCCAAGAGCAUCGCAGCGUAGCUAAGUUUGGAAAGGAUAAACGCUGAAAGCAUCUAAGCGUGAAGCCAACUCUAAGAUGAAUCUUCUCUAAGCUCUCUAGAAGACUACUAGUUUGAUAGGCUGGGUGUGUAAUGGAUGAAAGUCCUUUAGCUGACCAGUACUAAUAGAGCGUUUGGCUUAUCUUUAAUAAAGCAU
rnacentral:rRNA from 1 species